rnacentral:rRNA from 1 species
GCGCUAGCUACAGGCUUAACACAUGCAAGUCGAGGGGCAGCAUGGUCUUAGCUUGCUAAGGCCGAUGGCGACCGGCGCACGGGUGAGUAACGCGUAUCCAACCUGCCUUACACUCUUGGACAGCCUUCUGAAAGGGAGAUUAAUACAAGAUGUUAUCAUGAGUAAGCAUUUUCGCAUGAUUAAAGGUUUACCGGUGUAAGAUGGGGAUGCGUUCCAUUAGAUAGUAGGCGGGGUAACGGCCCACCUAGUCUUCGAUGGAUAGGGGUUCUGAGAGGAAGGUCCCCCACAUUGGAACUGAGACACGGUCCAAACUCCUACGGGAGGCAGCAGUGAGGAAUAUUGGUCAAUGGACGAGAGUCUGAACCAGCCAAGUAGCGUGAAGGAUGAAGGUUCUAUGGAUUGUAAACUUCUUUUAUACGGGAAUAAACGAAUCCACGCGUGGAUUUUUGCAUGUACCGUAUGAAUAAGGAUCGGCUAACUCCGUGCCAGCAGCCGCGGUAAUACGGAGGAUCCGAGCGUUAUCCGGAUUUAUUGGGUUUAAAGGGAGCGUAGAUGGGUUGUUAAGUCAGUUGUGAAAGUUUGCGGCUCAACCGUAAAAUUGCAAUUGAUACUGGCAGUCUUGAGUACAGUUGAGGUAGGCGGAAUUCGUGGUGUAGCGGUGAAAUGCUUAGAUAUCACGAAGAACUCCGAUUGCGAAGGCAGCUUACUAACCUGUAACUGACAUUGAUGCUCGAAAGUGUGGGUAUCAAACAGGAUUAGAUACCCUGGUAGUCCACACGGUAAACGAUGAAUACUCGCUGUAGGCGAUAUACAGUCUGCGGCCAAGCGAAAGCAUUAAGUAUUCCACCUGGGGAGUACGCCGGCAACGGUGAAACUCAAAGGAAUUGGCGGGGGCCCGCACAAGCGGAGGAACAUGUGGUUUAAUUCGAUGAUACGCGAGGAACCUUACCCGGGCUUAAAUUGCAACCGAAUAUGGCGGAAACGCUAUAGCUAGCAAUAGCGGUUGUGAAGGUGCUGCAUGGUUGUCGUCAGCUCGUGCCGUGAGGUGUCGGCUUAAGUGCCAUAACGAGCGCAACCCUUGCCGAUAGUUACUAACAGGUUAUGCUGAGGACUCUGUCGGGACUGCCAUCGUAAGAUGUGAGGAAGGUGGGGAUGACGUCAAAUCAGCACGGCCCUUACGUCCGGGGCUACACACGUGUUGCAAUGGGGGGUACAGAGGGCUGCUACCACGCAAGUGGAUGCCAAUCCCAAAAACCUCUCUCAGUUCGGAUUGAAGUCUGCAACCCGACUUCAUGAAGCUGGAUUCGCUAGUAAUCGCGCAUCAGCCACGGCGCGGUGAAUACGUUCCCGGGCCUUGUACACACCGCCCGUCAAGCCAUGGGAGCCGGGGGUACCUGAAGCGCGUAACCGCAAGGAGCGCCCUAGGGUAAAACUGGUGACUGGGGCUA